AGUGGCGGACGGGUGAGUAACGCGUGGGCAACCUGCCCUGUACCGGGGGAUAACAGCCGGAAACGGCUGCUAAUACCGCAUAAGCGCACGAGAGCGCAUGCUUUUGUGUGAAAAACUCCGGUGGUACGGGAUGGGCCCGCGUCUGAUUAGCUUGUUGGCGGGGUAGAAGCCCACCAAGGCGACGAUCAGUAGCCGACCUGAGAGGGUGACCGGCCACAUUGGGACUGAGACACGGCCCAAACUCCUACGGGAGGCAGCAG
rnacentral:rRNA from 1 species